GGUUUGUUUGGUUUUACUUUGAAGAAAGCGAGGGGGUUUGAACCCCUAUGAGUCUCC
rnacentral:tRNA from 1 species